rnacentral:rRNA from 1 species
UACGUAGGGUGCAAGCGUUGUCCGGAAUUAUUGGGCGUAAAGAGCUCGUAGGCGGCCUGUCGCGUCGGCUGUGAAAACCCGGGGCUCAACCCCGGGCCUGCAGUCGAUACGGGCAGGCUAGAGUCCGGCAGGGGAGACUGGAAUUCCUGGUGUAGCGGUGAAAUGCGCAGAUAUCAGGAGGAACACCGGUGGCGAAGGCGGGUCUCUGGGCCGGAACUGACGCUAAGGAGCGAAAGCUAGGGGAGCAAACGGG